UGAAUACGAGACGCUACGGCGUCGAAGCAGUCUAUGUCAUACUUCCAAGAAAAGCUUGCACUGUCAUAAACAAAUAAUGCCUGUACCAUAACCGACACAGGUGGGUAGGUAGAGUAUACUAAGGGGCGCGAGAUAACUCUCUCUAAGGAACUCGGCAAAAUGACUCCGUAACUUCGGGAGAAGGAGUGCCUUAUUUAUAAGGUUGCAAUAACAAGAUCCAAGCAACUGUUUAUCAAAAACACAGGUCUCCGCUAAGUCGUAAGACGAUGUAUGGGGGCUGACGCCUGCCCAGUGCCAGAAGGUUAAAGAAGUUGGUUAGCAUUAGCGAAGCUGAUAACUGAAGCCCUGGUGAACGGCGGCCGUAACAAUAACGGUCCUAAGGUAGCGAAAUUCCUUGUCGGGUAAGUUCCGACCCGCACGAAAGGCGUAAUGAUUUGGAUACUGUCUCAGAGAGGGGCUCGGUGAAAUAGACUUGUCUGUGAAGAUGCGGACUACCUGCACCAGGACAGAAAGACCCUAUGAAGCUUUACUGUAACUUGAAAUUGAAAUUGGACUUUGUUUGCGCAGUAUAGGUGGGAGGCAUUGAUAAUAUUCUUGCGGGAAUGUUGGAGCCAUCAGUGAGAUACCACUCUUGUAAUGUUAGAUUUCUAACUUUGGAUCAUUAUCUGGUCAAAGGACAGUUUCAGGCGGGCAGUUUGACUGGGGCGGUCGCCUCCUAAAUGGUAACGGAGGCGCACAAAGGUUUCCUCUGAACGGGUAGAAAUCGUAUCUAGAGUGUAAAGGCAUAAGGAAGCUUGACUGUGAGACCUACAAGUCGAGCAGGGACGAAAGUCGGUCUUAGUGAUCUGACGGUGCUGAGUGGAAAGGCCGUCACUCAACGGAUAAAAGUUACUCUAGGAUAACAGGCUGAUCUCCCCCAAGAGUUCACAUCGACGGGGAGGUUUGGCACCUCGAUGUCGGCUCAUCGCAUCCUGGGGCGGUAGUACGUCCCAAGGGUUGGGCUGUUCGCCCAUGAAAGCGGUACGCGAGCUGGGUUCAGAACGUCGUGAGACAGUUCGGUCCAUAUCCGGUGUAGGCGUUAGAAUAUUGAGAGGAGCCUUCUUUAGUACGAGAGGACCGAGAAGGACAUACCUCUGGUGUACCAGUUAUCGUGCCAACGGUAAACGCUGGGUAGCUAUGUAUGGAGAGGAUAACCGCUGAAAGCAUCUAAGUGGGAAGCCCACCUCAAGAUAAGUAUUCGC
rnacentral:rRNA from 1 species